rnacentral:rRNA from 1 species
AGCACUCCGCCUGGGGACUACGGUCGCAAGACUAAAACUCAAAGGAAUUGACGGGGACCCGCACAAGCGGUGGAGCAUGUGGUUUAAUUCGAUGCAACGCGAAAAACCUUACCACUCCUUGACAUGGAGAUUAGAUCCUUCUUAACGGAAGGGCGCAGUUCGGCUGGAUCUCGCACAGGUGCUGCAUGGCUGUCGUCAGCUCGUGUCGUGAGAUGUUGGGUUAAGUCCCGCAACGAGCGUAACCCUCAUCCUUAGUUGCCAGCGGGUUAAGCCGGGCACUUUAAGGAAACUGCCAGUGGUAAACUGGAGGAAGGUGGGGAUGAUGUCAAGUCAGCACGGCCCUUAUGGGGUGGGCUACACACGUGCUACAAUGGUGACUACAAUAGGUUGCAAUGUCGCAAGGCUGAGCUAAUCCGUAAAAGUCAUCUCAGUUCGGAUUGUCCUCUGCAACUCGAGGGCAUGAAGUCGGAAUCGCUAGUAAUCGUGGAUCAGCAUGCCACGGUGAAUACGUUCUCGGGUCUUGUACACACUGCCCGUCACGCCAUGGGAAU